UGUGCCCCACCUGGAUCCACCCUGGGAGAGUACCAAGGCUGAGCUGGCCUUAGUGAGAACUAGCAAGCCCAGUACUGGGCCAAAUUGUGGCCGGACAAGCAGGGGUCAGCCAGCAGAAGGAUACCACUGGGACCUUUCCUGAGCUCUACACCCUCAGCCUGGGUAUCCUGCACUUGCAGAAAGCCUCCCAGAUUUUGUGCGAAGAAUAAGGGGUAUCAGAGCCAGCCUGUCCAGUCUCCAGAUCCACCUGGAUUACAGGCGUGCCCCACCACACCCAGCUCGGAUGUCCUGUAUUUUAUCUGGAAACCCUACGCAGAAACCAAAUGGCUCAUACUCUGCUCGGGAACCGCACAGCUCCAACACCAGCAGGAUAUCCCCGACAUCUUGAGGAGCCUGAGCACCAGCUUCUCACUUCUGCCAGUUUGCUGCCUAAGACCUGAUCUCUGAAACGAUGAGCCCAGACUGUGGAUUAGCCCGGUUCCUUCUCCCUAAAUCCCCAGCUUCAAAGGCUGUGGCUCCUACCAACCUUGGGAAAAGUGGAGUGUAUUUGCAUCUCAAUACAGAGCAGGAAAUACA